AGAGCAACGUCGGCGAGUGUCAUCUGUGAGCGUUCUGCUCUGGCUGUGAAGUGGCUGCACCUCCACCUUAACGACUUUUCCAGGGUCAGAUCAGCAUCCCAGCAGAGCUCCAGGGUUGGUGCUGCUGGUGGUGCAGAGCUGCGUUUGUGCCUCGGGGAGAACUGUGUUAAAUUUAGAAGCAAAAGCCACGGCAAGAUUUCCAUUUUCCUUCUUUUAUUACUUGCAGGGAGGAAUGCUGCUGAUCGUCCAGUGAACCUUUCUCUGCUUCCCAUCUUAGAAUCAGCCCCAGCUGUCUGCAGCCUUUGCCGAAAGCACAGAAAUGCACCCAAAUGCAAACGUUUCUCUGCUUUUUCUUUGCAAAUCGCCCUCCGGCCACUGGAUGCAGCACGUCUUGCAAAACACGUGGCCAAACCUUGUUGUGCUCAGCUGUCCUGGCAGCACGAGCCUUGGCAAGUAGCUGUUCCUAGAGUUCAUUAGCUGCUGUGGGCGCUGACGGGCAGUUUGGCCACUGCAGGGAAAUACACCCUGGCUUUUCUCUCCUUCCCUCUGCCAGUGCAGAGACCGGGGGUUAUAUCCAUUCAUAACACACCGAUGGAGAUGGAGCUCUGUUGCUUACAGAAGCUUUGAACCUCUAAGAAGGUUUCCCAUCUUCCCAAAUGGGUCCGGGAGCUCAUGGGGCUCUCAGGCACUCGGAUACUUGUGGCUGCAGGAAGAGGGACAAAUGCAGCCCAGGGAGACGGCCGCAGCCACGCGGGGCUCAGCAGCUGUGAGCUGGAACAUCUGACUCAUCCCACAGCAAGGUCUGCAGCUGCAGAUUUCCGGGUUUUGUAAAGCUAAGUGAGGCUGAUUGGCUCAAGGACCGGGGAAACUGAGGCACGGAGUGCAAGGCUGGGGCAGAGCAGAAGCUGGGUGUCCCGUGCUGUGAAACCUGUGCUGCUUUGUGCUGCAUGCCCACUCCGAAAGGAUGCUGAGUGCUUUAUAGGGAGCCACAGAGGCAUCUCCUCCAUCCAUCCACGGAUCUGGCAGGCUGUGUGGUCCCUGACAGCCACGGAGAAGCUUCUGCAUCUCUUCUUCUCUCCUACUUCUGGUCAGUCUGCAUAAACCCCAGGCACAGACAGGCUCCCACUUUGUGUUUUGCAGCACCACAGGACCAUGGUCAAUGCCCCUUCUCCAAUGUGAAUGCCCAGCUUUGCUCCAACCCUUUUCACCUCCACCUCUGAGGCUGCCGGGCAGCAGCACAGCUCAUGCUCCUGGCCAAUGCACAGCAAAUGAAACCUCUCUUACAUUGCACCCGUGGCAUGCAAAGCUGUUUCAAAGCCUGGAGGAGGCGUCGGCGCUGAUGGACUCGGGUUUUGCACACAAGGUCUCUUGUUCAGCAUGGAGCAGAGGUGGCCAGGCAGGCAAGGGAGAGGUACAGUGGGAGGAGGUGAUGAAUGGGGACCGUUGUCUCACCCCUAAUCACCUCCAGGGGAAUGCUGAGUGUUUGCCAGCCGCGCACAAAUGGAGCCCGUCUUUCUAUACUGUUUGCACUCCUGGAUUCUGUUGGCUUCCAGGACGAGUCUCAUAUCCCCCUGUAAUUACUCCUAGUUAGAAUCCGAGGAGAAUGAUGUGGUUAAAAGAUACGUGUGGAUUGAAGCCUCUCAGAGCCGCCCUCCUCUCCUGCGUGGUUCUGGCUCAGCCCCAUCCAGCUGGGGUUUAUUUCAAGCUCAUUCGCUGCCCGAACAUAGAGAAGAAGCAGCAAAGAAUGCAAGGCAGCUCCGGAGCCUCGAAUAGGUCAGGACACAGACCAAGAGCUGCACUUCAUUUAAAGGGAAACACUCAGACCCCAAACUUCUGACAUCUCUGCCAUCUGUUGGUGACGGUCGUACCCAGCAGUACCACUGACUGCAGUUUCCAAAGUCACGCUGGAUGUGCAAAGUGGUGCCUCAUUUCCAGGCCAGGUUUCUUUGUUGUUUGUUUUUCCAGGAAUCCCCCAUCCUUUUCUCUCCCGUUUUUAUUCUUUGUUUUAUUCUUCAGCUUCUCGAGGCUGUGUUUUGUGGUUUUUUCUCUUAGCCCUUUCCCAUUCUCCAGCCGGACAUGACGCCAGAAAUUAGAGAAAAACCCACUUCUCCACCUCUCCUUCAAUACACCCAAGGGAUGGGAACUCUCUCCCAAGGGAUGGGAACCUCUUGGCAUGAAGCUGAGUCACCAUCCCUGGAGGUGUUCAAGAACCACGUAAAUGUUGUGCUAAGGGACGUGGUUCAGUGGGGGAAAUGGUGGUGGUGGAUGGUUGGACUGGAUGGUCUUGGAGCUCUUUUCCAACCGUGGUGACUCUGUGAAACAUCUGGACUUUUCCCCAUGGAAAUAAUUGCUGGGAGUGAUUUGAGGGGCAAAGCUGGCCUAAAUGGUGGGGAAGUCUCCCAUGCUUUAUUCAUUCCAAGCACUGAAUUCAGCGGGAGUUGGGAUGUACCUCGCAAAGGAGGAGCUGAGGUGGAGUGGGAAGUAAAGGUGAGGAUGCAGCAGUGAGAAGAGGCUGAAGGGGCAGUGCAUGAGUGCUGGGGGCUCACGUUUCCAGCCUGCACUGCAAAGCUGACGGGAAGCUCUUAGUCCAACCUCACUAAAACAAACUGGUGUGACCGGCACCUCUGUGUCUGGGAAGCCACUGAUGGGAUCACCAAGGUCACAGAAUGGGGCUCGCUGGGACAGAGCCAGCCCCAUCCCUGGGCACACGGGUGGCUGAAUCUACAUUGGGUUUCCUGGAAGGUACUGCUUUGGUGCGAGACUGAUGAGCAUCUCCAGUGAUGAGCAGCGGGAUGCUGGUGGCUAUGGGAUGCUAGGUGUGGAUGAAGCUGGUUUUUCACCCUCCUCUGCAAAGCAGAGGGACACCCCCGUGAUGUUUCAGUCACCUCAGUGGUGGAGGCAGCAUCCAUAGGACAUCACGACCCUAUACAGCUCAUGGUGGGAAGAACCAUGAGCAAGAAAUCUCUCUCUGCUGAUGGCGCGCGAACCUUCUCUGGUGAUACGAGCACUGAUUUGGGAGGAGUGGAGUUUUUUACCCUGGGGCACUCCAGGAGAUCAAACUGAUGGUUUGGUUCAGUUUUAUAGCCAGAAGAGAAAUCUACUGUGCUUACUUUGAAUGCAACACGUGUUCUUUUUUGUUUCCCUAAUCUUCCGGACUAAAAAGGGGCUAAAUGGAGCCUGAAGUAUAAUUUUCAGACAGAGAAAAUAUAAAGAAGAACAGUCAUCGAGGCUGCAUGGUAUUUUUUCCUCACAUUUAUCUCCACUUUCCAAACAAACCUCAAGUUUAGUCACUGCGUAAAGGUCUGUCUCGAUGAAUUAGCUGUUUAACAAUGCUUUUCUCCCUAAUUCCAGCUAAUGGAAUAAUAGGACCUGCUGGAGGCAAGUUCAUAAACUGCGGGCUGUGUAAUGGAUCAUCUCCAGGCUCUGCCACUGACUCCUCAAGAGAGACUCGUUGACAUACCUUUGCAUGAAGCAAUUCACUGCUUCUUGGAUCUCCCAUGAUUGUAUGAUUGAAGGAUGACCACGGAUACUGCAGAUCUCCAGAACAGACCACCUCACCCUGACAAACAAAUGCACGUUCCUCCGUAAUUUUCCAACAGGAUUUGCAGUGGGUGGGCACAGGCUGGAGAGCUUGGCAGCGCUUCCAGUAGGGCUGUUUGCUGCAGAAAACACUUAUUUUUAUCCAUGUAUGGAAUAAUUGUCUCCUGGUGUCUGUGAUGAAAUCUGUGAUUUGUGCAGCCACGCUCCCUCGCUCUACAAGCUCUGCACCAACACUCUCUGUACACCCCAAAGCAAGACACCAACGCUGGCUUUAACCAUCCUCCUCUCCAUCCAUAUAAAUCCCUUUCUGUAAACCUACCCCCGGCUCUUCUCAGCCAGAAGAGCAUGUCGUGGAGGGCAGGUCCUACUUCGGCUGGUUGGUUGGAUGGUAGCCUUUUCCCACACUGGUCAGCAACUCCCAGACCAGAGCACCUUAUCUCUGUACCUCCCUGUCCAAAAGGAGAGCCUACCCUGACACCCCCACCCCUCCGACGUGUCCUCAGUGCCCUCUGAUGCGUCCCUGAGGCACAGGAGGGGGUGGAUGGAAUGUUUUCCUCCUCACACUGCCCAGUCUCAAUCUGAUGCUGCUGUGAGUCACUGCAGGGAGGUGCAGGUGAGGGAGGGGAGGAUGUCCAGCUUCAUCAGGAGCGGCGAUGAUGGUGAUGAUGGUGCAAACGCCAGGGACAGAAGAUCUGUCUGAAGAUGAAUUCCUAUUAAUGAAGCCCCUUGGGGUGUCAAGGGCACACCACCACCACCUGGAGUCGCAGGGACCAUGGACCAGAGGUGUCACCCCAUGAGGAUGUUUCCUGGCCUUGCUCCACCUGAACCCCUUCGGAUGGCCCAGAGCUCCUCAUUGGAGAGGAGUGACAUCAACCAUAGCACCUGGCAUCAUUGGAGAGGUGUGCCACUAACCAUAACCCUUGGCUGCCCUCACAGACCUGUCCUGGGACACACUAAGGAGCAUCUCCUGCUUGCUCCAAAGCCAAUUCUUCUUUCAGGUUCUCUCUCUGGCUAAGACCAGUAACAGAGCGAGGAGUGAGGUGGAUUUUCACCCUAAUUUCCAGCUUUCACGGGAUAAAUUUGCAGGUCAAGAAGAGCUGGAGGAACCACCCGGGAGCUGUCGGUCUCAGGGUCUCUGUUAGGACCUGCCCUAACAAGAAAUGAAUUUUCUCCUCUUGCUCAGAGCAGAGGCCAAGCAGGGAGUGAGGCCAGAAAAACAAAGGGUCACGCUGGAGUUUCUUUUUUUUUUUCCUUCACUUUAACUCCGAAAUAAAAAUACAGCUCAAGCUUGUUUUGGGAUUAACGAGAAAAAAAAAAACCCUCUUGAUGGGAACCAUCUGUGGCUGGGAGAUGCCGGCUGCUCUCUGCUUCCCACCCAGCAUGCAGAUGCUGUUAUAUGGGGUGUGUUCUCCCCCCCCCCCAGAUAUUAUUCCUCUCACCCCAGUGCUGUUCAGAGCAAUCCCAAGUAUUUAAGGAGGCUUUUCUCUGGAUGGGCCCAGCGUUGCAAAGCAGCAGCAGCUCAUUACUCCCAUGUAACAUAAUAUUUGCUUUCCUCAUUACAGCAGCACUGCCCGGCACAGCUUGGUGGUGGCUGCUGGUCUUGCUAAGUGCAAAUACUGGAAGAGUCUUUGUUGUAACCUUUCCACCCCAGACGCUACUUCGUCUUCAAGGCAAAUUUGCUGUGGCCUCUCCAACCUGUCCUGCAGACUGAGAGGGGGAAAUCUGCCCCCAAGAGUGGAGUUGUACCAGUCAGAAUGAGGAUUUGCAUCGGUGCCCCCAUGGUUCGCAGCACUCUGGUGGUGGCUGCUCACCCCAAAUUGGACUUGGGGUGCCCACCCAUGGAAUGUGAGCACUCCUAAACCAGAGGAUUUUUGAGGAAAGGAUAAAAAAAGGUGUGUUUAAAGCACUGGAAACGCUGCAGAGCAUCCAGAGAAGGAAAAAGAGCAGGGAAAGGAGGGAAAGCUGAAAAUGGAACCAACAGAAGUCCAGGCAGGUUUGGCCCCAGGAGGAUGCUGGGAGAUGCUGAGGGCCUUUCUCUGCCCUCAUCGUGCUUUCUGAAGGCGAGGAGGCUGGGAUGCUUUGUGCAGGGACUGGAUGUGGGCAGGUGGAGCAGAAAGGUGGAGAAGAGACAAGACCAACAGGUUCCUGUGCUGCUGGGAUUGUGAGCAGCUGCACGCCUGAGCUGGGAUCCACCCUCUGCUGUGAGACAGCUCAUGAAAUGGGUCCAAAUGGGCUCUUUGGGGGUUUUAAAAACCUGGAUUGAAGGGAGGAUUUUUACAUGGGCUCCACUGUCUUUUGGGUGAGUCCAAACCUUGCUGGGGAGAUGGUUUGGACUUACUGGCACGAUGUAUGGAGUGUGCCUGCAGCGUCCUCCUGCUUGUCCCCAGCAUUGCUCACUGAACAUGAAGAUCCUCGAGCUAUUUUAAUCUGUUUUAACUAAACGAAUCAGCUCUCUGCUCCGUGGAGCCCACCGUGGUUGGAGAGGAAGAGGAUGCGUUUUGCAUUCCAGAGGAUGAAGGCAAAAUGCUUUUCAACUUCUGAGGUUGGCAAAAUCAAUUAAUAGGACACCGUCUCGCCCCACAGCCAGGGUGCAGCCCGUGCUCCUGCAUUAGGAAUACAGGAUGCUCUGAUGAUGCUGUACCCAGCCCUGCUCUGACCACAGGUUGAGAAGUCAUCUUUGCUCUGCCCAGCUGUGCACCCAGCCCUGCCCCUCCUCCAUCGUUAGGGAUUUGUUUGCUUAUUGCUGAAGUUAAUUUGGGUUUUGCCCUGCCCCGGCACCAUGGGAGCCCAGGGACAAGAAGCUUUUGCAGCUAAUCCUGGCCCAACCAGUGCAGCCAGUCAAGUGGGUCCAUUUCCCUGCUGGUGACCAUGAAGAGGUAGCAGGAGCUCUGCCAAUACAGCUUGGCUUGCAGAAUGACAUCCUUUGUCCAGGCUCUUUGCAUCCUCCUGUUAUUUCACACCCUGCUUAGAUUUCUUCUGGGAGAUCACUCUGGCCUCUGGGCUCUAAAACAGACGUAAACCCAUCUGGGCUGUGAGCAUGGCACUUUGGUGAUGAGAGACCACAAACAGAGCAUCGGGAAGAGCUGGGUGGUCUCAGCUCUUGAUGUGACACUAUGAACUGCCUGGUAAAAAUCUCCUUGGAAGAUCUGGGGCCAGAAAUCUUGAGCUGCUCCAGGCAGGGAUGGGCAGCACGUGGGGUAGCUCUGACCUUCGACUCAUUUUGCCUUUGGGAAAAACCAAUUCUUAUUCUUAUCCCUCUGCUCUGCUCGGAAUCUUCUCCGUGAGCCCAGGAGCUGGCUAGUUCUGCAAGGAGGACUUUGUCUUUCCCAUAUCUUACAUUCAGAUCCUGAUAGGGCAGAUAAGCCCCGGCUCCUUUUCCUCCCACAGCUUCCCACACCUGCAGCAUUGCAUGGGGUUGCUGUGGCCAAAGCACAGGACCCGGCACUCGAUCUUCUUGAACUCCAUCCCAUUGGCCUCAGCCCAGUGAUCAGCCUGCCCAGAUCCCUCCGUAGGGCCUUCCUAACCCCAGGAAGACCCACACUUUCCCCAGCUUGGUGUCAUCCAUCUGCAAACGUACUGAGGGUGCACUCAGUGCCCUCAUCCAGGCCAUCAGUAGAGAUACUGAAGAGCACGGGCCCCAGCACCGACCCCUGGGGAACACCACUCAUGACCAGUCACCAACUGGAAGGAGCUCCAUUCACCACCACUCUCACUCACCACCAGCCAGUCCAUGGGCACCCCACACACGCUUUGCUUCACCCAUCAAAAAGCAAUUUACCAACACUUGUAGGACCAGCAUGAUGUAGAACUACCUUCUGUCGCGGCAGGAAGAAAACGCACCCCUUUUUUAUUAGAAAAGGAGGGGGAUGGAUUCAUGAAGUGCUUUUCAGACAAUGAGGUUUUGAACUCGGGGGCUUUAAUUUCAGCAUUGUUUGUGCAAACACGCUCUGUCACGGACGGGCUGAGCCAGCAGCUGUGAUGGGCCUUUCAUCCCUGCCUGGCAAUAAAGGCCCUGUUGUUGGGUCACCGAACAGAGACCUUCCAUCGCCAUGUCCCCCUCCGAGGGAACGCUGGGAUGCAGAUAAUCUGAAAACCGAUGUUCCCCUUUGCUUAUCCACUGAAUAAGGGAUGCUUUGUUCGGGGAUACAGGUCAGGGCUGUGGCAGGAGAUUUUGUUUCAGCUACCUGCAAACAAGCUAUGAGAAGAAUGCGGUCGGUUCCUCUCGGACUGGAGAAACGGGGAGAUAUCACCCAAUGGUGUUGUUUAAUAUUAACUGGACCGGUGCAUGUCUAUAAAGGGUUCGAUUGUGUACCUAUCUGUGUUUAAAUGUAAAUGUCACCUCCACGGUCAUAUUCCUGUGGUCAAAGCCUUGCACAGGCUGGAGCAGGUGAAAGUCCUCCUGGAGUCGGCGAUGGUUUUUGUCAGUAGAGAUUUGUGUGUUGGCACCAUGAGCCCAGGCCUUCCCCACUCUGUGCUGCAUGGGACAGGAGCUCCAGCAGCAGCACCCACCUGGGUUUUGGAUCUUAGCCUUCAUCCUCACCCCCCUCCUCUUGGGCUUUUGGUAUCCGGGGCAUCCCAUGGUUCUCACACAGGCAGGGAAACCUUGCCUGAAAAAUAAGCCUUCUCCCACAUUUUUUUUAUGAAGUGGAUCAUAUCUGAGAUCUAGGAAAUGCUACUAAACACAGCCAUUUUCAAUAAUUAGUUCAGAGAUGGCUUUACCUGCCUGCCCUGAUGUUUUCCCAGUAUCUGAACACAGACCAGCAGUGGGCAGGUAGGUAUAUCACAAAAAGAGUUGCGGGCUUGAAAUUAUUUGGUUUGCUACCGAUUAGUGAUUCAGGGCUGGAUUUUCCUUCCUUAAUCUGCCUUCAUUCGGGGAAUCACCAGAUAGUGAAAAAUACCACAGAAUCACUGAAAAAAUAGAAUGAUUGGGUUGGAAGGGACCUUAAAGACCAUUCAGUUCCAACCGCCUGCCGUGGGCUGCGUGCACCCCAGUUCAGGCUGCCCAGGACCCCCCCCAACCCUGCCUUGGCACCUCCAAAGAUGGGGCAGCCACAGCUCCUCUGGGCAAAAGAGCUACAGUGUGAUCCUAAGUCAUCUCUUUGGGUGCGUGAUUUGGGUUGCAACCAUCUUGGGGUGGUCCAGCUUUGUCCUCCUGAACCUUGAGCACUGUGGGGGGAAGGACCAAAGACCUAUCCCGUCUGCACACUGCAUCUGUAUGACAAACACUGGUUUGUGCGGAGAAAGAGGAGGAAAGGGGAUAGAAACCCUUCCUGGGGGACACAUAGAUGUCGUGGGAUGCAUUGAAUCCCAGCAGCUGUCUGAGUCAGUGUCCUCAGUCUCUGCUUUUCUAUUCACUGGAAAAGAUGCUUCCCUCCUCUGAGCAUCCUCCUGCAGACACCAGAUGUACUCCUUCUGCUGACAGCAUGUGGCUGUAGUCAACCAGCACGUGUUUCUUGAGCAAGGCCAGCUGCAGACCUCGGGCAGACGGGGAGGAGGCUGUUGGUCUGAUGCUCCGCCGGGCUGGGAGGGCAGCCCUUAAUCCUGACUUACACACUGAUCUUUAUUUUACUGCCCCACUAAUUGAACACGGCCAUGAAUAUCUCCAGCACCCACAGAGUUUUGGUAAUGAAGGCCGAUAGGUGAGACAAUAUGGGAUUUAUGCAUAUGCCUGUUUUUUUCCCUGUAAGAGAAUUGGAUUUAUCCUAAGCUCCGCUUGGUAGCAAGAGCUGAGGGUUGUAAAUGGGUUCAUUACUUACGACGUGGGCAAAUAUGCCAACAAGUAGAAGUUUAAAGCUUGGGCUGUGGGACCAAGACCCGCAUAGGCACACCAUAGACCAACCAGACCACAGACACACUAGCUCAGCUGUGGAUACCCUUUGUGGCAACAGAUGUCAAUGCCAAUUAAGAUGUCUGCACAAGAUCACGGAAUCACUCAGGUUGGAAAAGACCUCGCAGAUCCCCGAGUCCAACUCCAAUCCACCCCACCGUGCCCACUGACCACCUCCCUCAGUGCCACAUCCCUAUGUGGCUCUGAAACACCCCCAGGGAUGGUGACCCCACCUUCCCUGGGCCGCCUGUGCCAAUGCACCACCACUCUUCCUGCAAAUAAAUCAUUCCUAAUAUCCAACCUAAUGGCUGCAGCACUCCCCAGCUCACCUCCAUCCACGAGGCCAUGGAUAGGCUGAUCAGGGCUGUGUUUCUCCAGCUAAGCUCUCUGCAGGGCUGUAGUGCCAGUCCAGGAGCGGUCUGUGUGAAGCAUUGCUACAGGGCAACGUCCUGUAGGGCUUCAGGGGGAAAUGAGGGCACACUGUGCUCUGCCUCCUGAGAAACCUUGAUGCUGAUGGACAUUCCUCUCCUUGCCAUUGCACCGCUAUCACCCCGAAGGCUCCUCCUAGCACCUCCUCAUAUUCUUGUCUUCUGAGAACUGACCUCAAGACCCUCCAUCUCCCCUUCCUCAAUUCCUGUGUUCCCUCCCUGAUGUCUGAACAGAACUGGUGCUUCCUGCAGCCCACUUCUUGGUUUAAUGGUCAUGAUGGUGAAGGGUUGAUGGUUGGACUUGAUGAACUUAGAUCUUUUUUGACCUUAACGAUCCCACGAUUCUAUCUCACUAACUUUAUUGUCUGGAAAGUCAAGCUUCUCUUUCAAGAACACCACAGGUGUUUGCAGAAGAUCCAGAAAAGACGGGAUCUGUUUCUUGCCACUCUCCCUAGUCCCUGCUUCUAAAAGGGAUGGAUUUAUUCCUUGUUACUCAUCUCCAAAAUGGGUUGGCUGAGACCCAGGUACUUUUCAGGUCUCACAGGGGAAAGCCUGACAUCCCUACCUGCAUGCACCCACCCUGUGAAACUCAAACAUUUUCCCCGAAACGUCCUUCAGGCAAAAAAAACCAAACCAACAACCCUCUGUGCUGCAUUUAGUGUCACAGGCUGGGAAUGCUCAUACUUUGCUCCCGAUGAAUUGAUCUGUAGGACGGUUGCAGAGAGGCCACCUGCACGGGGAGAUGGGGUUGUGAUAACAAAACCCUGGUUAACCUUUGCCCGGGUGUUCUCCACUUGCCUGCUUGAGGGCUUGACUGCACCUUUCAGACACGAAGGAAAAAGAAUUACCUUGUGUGACCAACCUGACUGUGCACCUGAUGUCACGUUCUGCAUUUGUAUAAAUCAAUCUACAUCUGAAUACUGCCCGUUUAGUAGAGGAUUGUCUAAUGGGAUAUAAAGGCACGGUAUGGGGGGAGUUCUGCUGUUCAUCACUUUCCCUAGUUGAUUUCCCAACAGCUAAAAACCCACCCAUUUAUCUUCUCAGUUGACUUUGUUGUUGACUUCCAUGACGACGUGAAGAUGUGCUCAGGGCUAAUUUUGUGCUGAUGACAUACCACAAAUAAUUUUGCUCUGACGGUGGAGAUGAGAUACAGGGUGCUUGCUGCAAUUCUCUCUUCCACAGUGUGCCAGGGCAACACUAAUCCUAUUCUUUGCACAGCUAUUUGGACCAUCACUGCAUGACUAUUUGGACCAUCAUUGCAUGGCUAUUUGGACCAUCAUUGCAUGGCUAUUUGGACCAUUGUUGCAUGGCUAUUUGGAUCAUCGUUGCAUGGCUAUUUGGAUCAUCGUUGCAUGACUUUUUGGACCAUCGUUGCAUGACUAUUUGGACCAUUGUUGCCCAGCUAUUUGGACCACCAUCAUGGCCAUGGUUUCUCCUCCAAGCAGGGAGACGUUGAUACAAGAAUCACAGGCGAUGGAGGGCAUCUGAGGCCUGAUUUACCUGCAGUGAUAUUCCAUGCCAGUGAGUGCUAUUGAAGUGCAUUCAUCUUAUCUGCCCCUGAAGGGACUGUGGGGUUAACCUACUGCAGAUCAAACACAGCUAUUGUGCAAACAGGCAAAGUAUUUCCUGGCUAUCUUCACCUCUAGUUGCUGGGUAACAUCAAACACUCACAUACUCGCACUUGAUGAGCUAUCCAGGCCCCACCAACCCAUCUCCACUGCUGCUGUGGGAAAGGGCAUGGAGAAAGAGGUGGAAAUACACAGUCCGUAGUGGAAAAACA